rnacentral:sRNA from 1 species
GGUCCCAUGGGAUUAUUUGUUGUCCCAUGGGACAAAAAAAAUCCCAUGGGACUAUAAUUAUCCCAUGGGAUU